GAGUUUGAUCCUGGCUCGGAUUGAACGCUGGCGGCAUGCCUUACACAUGCAAGUCGAACGGCAGCACGGGAGCUUGCUCCUGGUGGCGAGUGGCGAACGGGUGAGUAAUGCAUCGGAACGUAUCCCGGAGUGGGGGAUAACGUAGCGAAAGUUACGCUAAUACCGCAUAUUCUGUGAGCAGGAAGGCGGGGGACCUUCGGGCCUCGCGCUCUUGGAGCGGCCGAUGUCGGAUUAGCUAGUUGGUGAGGUAAAGGCUCACCAAGGCGACGAUCCGUAGCAGGUCUGAGAGGAUGAUCUGCCACACUGGAACUGAGACACGGUCCAGACUCCUACGGGAGGCAGCAGUGGGGAAUUUUGGACAAUGGGGGCAACCCUGAUCCAGCCAUGCCGCGUGAGUGAAGAAGGCC
rnacentral:rRNA from 1 species